CUUUUCAGGCAGUUUUCUUCCUGGGGUUUCUCUUCCAAAGGCUGAAUCAGAGAUGAUGAUAGUGCACACAGGCAUGGUGGAAUACAGAUGGCUGAAUCCUGGCUUUGGAGAGGACUGCUAAAAGCCGCUUCAACACCUGAACACCAGCUUCCAGUUUCUUGGACUGAGCAGCUACUUGGUUUUACAGCCCUCCAGCAUGUAUGCAGCCAUCAAGGACUCUCCCACUGAAGAAUUUCUAAGAAUUGAGUCUUCAAAGAAAAAAAAGUGUUUUUCCACAUGAAGACAUCUCAAAGACUUCCCCAUGAUGUGAAGGACACUUUCUAUGAAGACCAUCCUGUGUCACUCUGCCCUCAUUGCCAUUGCUGCUGAGCUGUUUUACUUUCAAUCCCAGUGUAAUUAUCUCCAUCAUGGAGGAGGCUCUGGAUGCAUUUAUUUGUCCCCUUUCCGUGACUUGAAAAUGUAUUCCAUAUUCAGUCUAAGUGGGUAAUUAAAAUAACCUAAUCUACAUGUACUCUGUGAGCACGGGCUGUCUCUCCUCCCCCUCAGCCCCAGAGGUGGGAGGCUUCCGCUCUUAAACCUAGGGCCAAGAGCUCUGAUUGGCUGGUGGACAGUUCGGACAGGUGAAAUAAUCUAAUCUGGAAUACUGCUCUUCUCACCUUUUUUAAUAAACAUUUUGCCUCACCGCAGACCUUAAUAUAACAGCAGUAAAGGCAGGAGAGGAAAUUGGAAACACUGCCAGGAGUGUGCCUUAUGGUUCAUAA